AUGUGGUUUAAUCGAUGAUACGCGAGGAACCUUACCUGGGCUCAAAUGUAUGUUGACGUAUUCUGAAAGGGAUACUUCUUCGGACAAUAUACAAGGUGCUGCAUGGUUGUCGUCAGCUCGUGCCGUGAGGUGUCGGGUUAAGUCCCAUAACGAGCGCAACCCCUAUCAUUAGUUGCCAUCAGGUUAAGCUGGGGACUCUAAAGGAACUGCCUACGCAAGUAGUGAGGAAGGCGGGGAUGACGUCAAAUCAGCACGGCCCUUACGUCCAGGGCUACACACGUGCUACAAUGGCCGAUACAGAGGGCAGCUACCUGGUGACAGGAUGCAAAUCUCCAAAGUCGGUCUCAGUUCGGAUCGGAGUCUGCAACCCGACUCCGUGAAGUUGGAUUCGCUAGUAAUCGCGCAUCAGCCAUGGCGCGGUGAAUACGUUCCCGGGCCUU
rnacentral:rRNA from 1 species